GACGAACGCUGGCGGCGUGCCUAAUACAUGCAAGUUGAACGCUUCUUUCUUAUCGAACUUCGGUUCACCAAGAAAGAGGAGUAGCGAACGGGUGAGUAACACGUGGGUAACCUGCCCAUCAGCGGGGGAUAACACUUGGAAACAGGUGCUAAUACCGCAUAAUGCUUUUUCUCACAUGAGAGAAAGCUGAAAGGCGCUUUUGCGUCACUGAUGGAUGGACCCGCGGUGCAUUAGCUAGUUGGUAGGGUAACGGCCUACCAAGGCAACGAUGCAUAGCCGACCUGAGAGGGUGAUCGGCCACACUGGGACUGAGACACGGCCCAGACUCCUACGGGAGGCAGCAGUAGGGAAUCUUCGGCAAUGGACGAAAGUCUGACCGAGCAACGCCGCGUGAGUGAAGAAGGUUUUCGGAU
rnacentral:rRNA from 1 species